rnacentral:rRNA from 1 species
GAUGAACGCUGGCGGCGUGCCUAAUACAUGCAAGUCGAGCGAACAGACGAGGAGCUUGCUCCUCUGACGUUAGCGGCGGACGGGUGAGUAACACGUGGAUAACCUACCUAUAAGACUGGGAUAACUUCGGGAAACCGGAGCUAAUACCGGAUAAUAUAUUGAACCGCAUGGUUCAAUAGUGAAAGACGGUUUUGCUGUCACUUAUAGAUGGAUCCGCGCCGCAUUAGCUAGUUGGUAAGGUAACGGCUUACCAAGGCAACGAUGCGUAGCCGACCUGAGAGGGUGAUCGGCCACACUGGAACUGAGACACGGUCCAGACUCCUACGGGAGGCAGCAGUGGGGAAUCUUCCGCAAUGGGCGAAAGCUUGACGGAGCAACGCCGCGUGAGUGAUGAAGGUCUUCGGAUCGUAAAACUCUGUUAUUAGGGAAGAACAAAUGUGUAAGUAGCUAUGCACGUCUUGACGGUACCUAAUCAGAAAGCCACGGCUAACUACGUG